rnacentral:snRNA from 1 species
AGCUUUGCGCAGUGUCAGUAUCGUAGCCAAUGAGGUUUAUCCGAGGCACGAUUGUUGCUAAUUGAAAACUUUUCCCAAUACCCUGCCAUGAUGACUUGAAAUAGUGGGCAUUGGCAAUAUUUGACAGUCUCUACAGAGA